UACGAAGGGGGGCUAGCGUUGCUCGGAAUCACUGGGCGUAAAGCGCACGUAGGCGGACUCUUAAGUCGGUGGUGAAAUCCUGGAGCUCAACUCCAGAACUGCCUUUGAUACUGGCGACCUUGAGUCCGGGAGAGGUGAGUGGAACUGCGAGUGUAGAGGUGAAAUUCGUAGAUAUUCGCAAGAACACCAGUGGCGAAGGCGGCUCACUGGCCCGGUACUGACGCCGAGGUGCGAAAGCGUGGGGAGCAAACAGG
rnacentral:rRNA from 1 species